rnacentral:piRNA from 1 species
AGCCCAGUGUAACGUCAGUCCACAGA